rnacentral:rRNA from 1 species
AACGAACGCUGGCGGCAUGCCUAACACAUGCAAGUCGAACGAGACCUUCGGGUCUUGUGGCGCACGGGUGCGUAACGCGAGGGAACAUGAACUUAGGUUAGGAAUAACUCCCCGAAAGGGGAGCUAAUAGCGGCGAUAGUUAAUGGAGCAAAGUUUUGUAGCCUUUGGAUGGGGGAGCGUUGGGUUAGCUAGUUGGUAGGGUAAACGCCUACCAAGGCGACGAUCCAUAGCUGGUGUGUGAGGAUGGUCAGCAACACUGGGUGUGAGACACGGCCGAGAAUCCUGCGGGAGGCAGGAGUGGGGAAUACAGGACAAUGGGCGAAAGCCUGAUCCAGCUAUGCCGGGUGAGUAAUGAAGGCCUUAGGGUUGGAAAGCUCUUUUACCCGGGAGGUGAAUGACAGUACCGGGAGAAUAAGCUCCGGCUAACUCCGUG